UUGGCUUGUCGUUGCUAACAUACGAAGUCAAUUUUUGUGAGAAUUUUUUUCAAGAGCACGAAAGCAGAAAAAUGAAAUAAAUUCCUUAAUAUUCUCUGCCUUUAUUCUCAUACAUUUUUACUAGUUUUUAUAUGAAAAGGUUGAGAAUACACCACGAAACUUGUAAAAAAUGCGCAGAUUGUGUUUGACGUAAAAGCCAAUAAAAGUAUCGACCACAUGAUAGAUCUAUCGACGAAUUUUGUACGGUCACUACCAUACCACACAUAAUUUUCUAAGUUAAGGUUAAAAGCAGUUUUAGAAAAACCUUUUAAAUAGUAUUUUUAAUAUUUAAUAUAUUAUUAUUAUUUUAAUCGGUGUGCAAUUAAUUUGAACAGAACGUAGUUGAAAUCAAUAUAUAUUAAUCAAAGUUUUGGUAAUCACAGUCUACGUCGUCCAAUUUGUUGCAACAGCUGUUUGCAUUGUUUACAUUUUAACACAAUUGCCUGUGUGUUGAAUAAACAUUAAAAGUUUUUGACUUCAUCAUUACAAGUUGCUACACAGAAUUCUCGUGUAUUUAGUAUCGGCUAAUAAUAGGAGGAAAUUCGAAAUAAUUAAUCAGCAAACACAUCAAAAGAGAAAACUGUGAGAAAAAAUGAGACCGGUUUUGAAUACACAGCCCCAAUGCUGUGGCCUGGAUGUAGCAAGAGGCAGCUUAAGAAGAUUCAGACAAGUCAGAACACCGCGCUUCGGUCUAUCACAGCAUGUCUUUUAAUGUCCCCGGACAAACAACUUCUUAAAGAGGCGCGAAUGCUUCCGGUUGAGGAACAUAAUGCACUCCUCUCAAGUUCCCAAGCAGUUUCUGUUUAAAUGUUUUCUCAGAAAUACGUUGACGAACUCGACGACAGGCUCAACAACUUAGCCGACUAGCGGUUAACAUUGGAUGAUUAAAACAACAAAGUAGAAAAUUGGUGGACAUAUGACUCUAUUAAUAGAGGUAGAUAGACGCAGAAGUUAAUAAAAAACCUACACAAAUAGAAGUAAACGGAGAAGUAAACUACUAUGUCCCACAAAUGAUAUCCAGGCACGGAUCUUUUAAGACGUAGUAGAAUUCUUUAGAUUUACUAGGAUUGCAGAAACUACGGUGGGGGAGAGCAAGAUACGUCUUGGUACUACAAGAGAUUGCCCUCAGGGCGGGGUAUCGUCCUCCCUUCUAUGAAGCCUCAUAGUAGAUGAACUCCUUGAGAUGCUGACGAACAACGGAAUUCGGUGCCAGGGGUACGCCGAUGACAUUGUCAUUAUGGCAACAGGGAAAUUUGAGAACACUCUCUGCGAUAUAGUCCAAAGAAGCUUAAGCCUAGCAAAGCGAUGGACAUCAACCCUUUAAAAACAACCGUCAUCCCUUUCACUAAAAUAAGAUCUCUUCCGGGCUUGAGAACUCUAUCCCUUGGUGACAGCGAGCUGGAGGUGUCUAAGGAGAUUAAAUACUUAGAUCUCAUACUGGACUUCACCUUGCGGUGGAAUAGGCACGUGGAGCUAAUGCUGCCCAAAGCCACAAAGGCACUAGUAUCACCAAGUAUCAUCAGGUGGCUGUACACCAUGAGCGUGAGGCCUAUUGUUACAUUUGGAGCGGUGGCAUGGGUGUCGAAAGCAUUGCAGACUUCGAUAUGUCUUCAACUAUCGAAGCUGCAAAGACUUGCCUGCGUCUGCGCCACUCUGGCAAUGCGCACUUGCCCCACCGCAGCACUUGAGGUCAUGCUAGAGCUCACACCGCUCCAUUUAGUUAUUAAACAGACUGCGAAGAAUACUAGGCUGCUCAUGACAGCAGAGGGGUGUGGAAAAGGGAAGUUACUCUCGUCUUAACAAAUGAGGGCCUUAGAGGAUAAUACGCCACUGCCCCCUCCUUCCAAGAGACGGCGUAACGAAGAGGGUAAACUUUACGAAAAAGUUUACUUUCGGCAGUAAGGCGGACUGGAGUGAUUCCACACUCGACCAACUGUUGAGAGGCACACUGACGGUACACCUGAUCAGACGAACUCACCCGCUCUGCUGCUGCCUCUGGGAUGAUGGGGCCGGAACCAUGCAUUGCAGUGGGGUCUCACACAAUAAAGGUGGGUAAAGAAAUUCAUUGGCAGCAAGCAAUUGGUAUGCGGCAUGCUAAACUGCUACUAGGAGGGUACAAUCUAGCCAGGUUCAGAGCUAUGAUAAACCCCUCCAGAGACAAAUUCCGGCUCCUUGUCGCUCUCUACACUGGGCACUGCAGGCUCAAAAAAUAUUUCCAAUUUGGGCAUAGCUUCUUGCAGUAACUGCCGGUUCUGCGACAUGGCGCCGGAAACACUAGAACACCUGAUUAUAGAUUGCACCGCAAUUUGUAGACGCAGGCUCAAGGCCCUCGGUUCCAUUUAUGUCGACAGGGAUCACAUUACCUCUAGUAAUGAUGUAACAUAGUAAAAAACUUAAAAAGCGCAAAUCAACAAAGUGCCUUCAGAAAAUUAAAUCAGACAUCAACAUUGAAGAUGCAUAUAUUGGACAAAAUAUACAGAAGGUUGGCUACAACUAUUUUUAUUCCCUUGCAGUCUUUUAAAUGUUGUGACUAAGAAACCGCUUAACUAUAAUUCAAUAAAAGUUGUAAAUAUUAGUAAAAGAAAAUAUUUUAUAUACUUUAAAAAUAAAAAGCCUAACUUUAAUAAUGAAUAAUCAAAAAUGAGUGUUGUCUAAUGUUUAAAAAUUUUUUUAAAUGUAACCUUAUUGUAUAAGAAUUUUACAAUCCAUCUGCAAGAGGUGUUAGAGAAAUAGAUUUGAGUUGGUAUUUUGACAGAUGGGAGGACUAAUUGUACGAAUAUAGCGUCAAGCAAUAUGAUCCUACUAUGUUGGCAGAAUGCGCAGUUUUCAAUAUAAGGUCCUUCUCGCUGUUUCUCUCUCAUUGGGUCUUUUAUUAGUGACCAGCGUUAAAUUAAGAAUCAUGGUGAGUUUAUUUACUCUCGUCAGUCAUAGUAUAUUAACAUCAACGUACUAAUAGAGUGAAUGGAUUACAUAUCGCUUUCUUUACAUAUUAUGUUGAAACCGUACUAAAUCGUAGUUUCUUACAUCUAUCGAUAUUUCCUCUGGGCUCUUACAUCUUGGUCUAAAGUCGUAUGGGUCAUUUAUCAUUCGUACUGACGUGAGACCACACAAAUUGUAGACUGCUUUCUUAAUGCUUGAAAAUCAGAAAGGCCUUAAAUGUUUCCGAUAUUUGUUUAUCAUUCACCAGAACGAGAUGGAGUUCGGAUUAAGCCUUUUAGUUUAAGCGCAUUUAACUUUUUAGAAAACUUUCAAGUCAGAUUUUUACCUUGUUUAUUUUUAAGCUUGAGCUCUUAAGCCAUGGUGGUUGCAUUCAACCGUAUGAUAUAUGAAUACAAAUAAAUAUGCAUGCAUAUAUGUAUAUAUACCCUACAAGAACAGUGACAGUCAUCUAACCGGUAAUAUGACAGUUACAGCUGA